rnacentral:lncRNA from 1 species
UGUUUCAAGCUUCCAAGCUCCAUAGUAAGUGAUUCCAAGCCCCGUUUUAAUGAUUUUUACGUUUUUGGAGUCCCGGUAGCUCAAUUAAGCUUAUGCUAGCAAUAAUUCAACCUAGGGUUCAUAUUUGGAAAAAUACCCAUAGGUGAAAUUUGUGUAUUUUGGUGUUUUAUGAUAGAAUAUGAGGUUUUAAAUUAUGUUAGACAACUUGUGCUACUCGAUUUUAAGUGAAAACGAGCAAAAUAGCUUAAUCGGUAAAAAUACCUAAUAGUCAUAAGUACAUGUUAGAGUGAGAAUUUGAUGUUUCCAUAGAAGGGAAAAAUGAUCAGCAUGUUAUAAAAUAUAAGAAUAAGGAAUCAAGUUUAAUUCCUGAGCCUAGGGGCAAAAGUGUAAAUAUGCAAAAGUUUAGGGGCAAAAUUGUAAUUUUUCCAAAAUAUGAUUUUGGGUCAAUUUGAAUAAUGUGAGUUCUAAUUAGACUAUAUUUUAAAUGAUAGAGCAAGGAAAACUGAAAUUCGGGCUAAAAUGGGGAAAAUACCAAGUUGUGGACGAAAUGGUAAAAGUAGCCAUUUUCGCAUACGAGGUAAGUUCAUAUGUAAAUUUUGGUAACAUAGUUAUUAUUUUAAAUGUUUUAAUGUUUUUUAAAUGAUAUGAUAAUUAUUAUGAAAUAUUAUACUUGUGAUAAUUGUUUGAUAAUAUGUCAAAUUAUGUGAUAUACUUGGAAAAUGUGAAAUACUACCGAGUAUCGGUAUCGGCAUUCCGUAGAAGAUGGUUGAGACACAUGAUUGGGAAAAAGGUCCCGUUGAACCUUAGGAAUGGAUUAGGAUACAAGUGACAUGUCACUGGGAUAUUUGGGCAUCCGAACUCGUUGAGUUGAGUCCGAGUUCACUUAUGGAUGCGAGCGUCCGAGCUCGUUGAGUUGAGUCCGAGUUCGUGAGAUGUAACUAGGCAUCCGAGCUCGUUGAGUUGAGUCCGAGUUCACUUAUGGAUGCGAACGCCCGAGCUCGUUGAGUUGAGUCCGAGUUCACUUAUGGGCGGGUUACAUGGUAGCUUGGCUACAUAUGUGGCACUUAUGUGCAAACUUUCCAUGUAUCCGAAUUAUAUUCCGAUGUGUUCAACGGGUAAAGUUCUACUGAAAUGGAGGAAUACUCAAGAUGAAAGGGACGUAUUGGUAAGUGUUGUGAAAUGGGUACUUUGAACAGGUAUGUACUUAACCCUCGGGUUGAAAACUCGAUAUAACAACAAUAUGGUAAGAUGAUAAAUGAAAAUGUGAUAUGAAUGUCUCGGUGAUGAUUAUGCAAAUGAUGUUUUAUGUUUGCGUAUAUAGUUGUGUUACUUGCUAUUUGCAUGUGAGCUUACUAAGCAUUUAUGCUUACUCCCUCCUUUUCAUUCCUUGUAGUGUUGACAAGCCAGCUCGGAAAUCAGGAACGAUCGGAGGCUCGCUCACACUAUCCGUAUACCAUCUUGGCAUAAUGGCUUGUAUAUUUUGAGUAUGGCAUGUAUAGCAUUAUAAUCAUUUUGUAUAUAUGGUCUUAUGAUAUGGUUAUUGAGUGGUAUGGAAAUGCUUGGUAAUGUUUAGCCAUUGGAAUGGCUAAUCAUGAUCAUAUUUGGUGUUAUGUAUGCUAAAUUGCUAGCUAAUCCAUGGAAACCAUGAAAUAUGUAAAAUUUACCAUAAAAUAGAUUCAGACAGCACCAGUGACGUGAGUUUGAAAAAUCACUAAAAAUAGUAGAGAUACAAUUAGAUGAUGAAUAAUAUAUGGAAUUGAAGAAUUAUGAGUCUAUUUUCA